rnacentral:rRNA from 1 species
ACGAACGCUGGCGGCAUGCCUAACACAUGCAAGUCGCACGAGACCUUCGGGUCUAGUGGCGCACGGGUGCGUAACGCGUGGGAACCUGCCCUUAGGUUCGGAAUAACUCCCCGAGAGGGGUGCUAAUACCGGAUAAUGUCUUCGGACCAAAGAUUUAUCGCCUUUGGAUGGGCCCGCGUUGGAUUAGCUAGUUGGUAGGGUAAAAGCCUACCAAGGCGACGAUCCAUAGCUGGUCUGAGAGGAUGAUCAGCCACACUGGGACUGAGACACGGCCCAGACUCCUACGGGAGGCAGCAGUGGGGAAUAUUGGACAAUGGGCGAAAGCCUGAUCCAGCAAUGCCGCGUGAGUGAUGAAGGCCUUAGGGUUGUAAAGCUCUUUUACCCGGGAUGAUAAUGACAGUACCGGGAGAAUAAGCUCCGGCUAACUCCGUG